GUUCAGGUGGAUGAUGCUUGGCUCGAGACCAUUCCAUCUCAGGAUCAUGAUGAUGAUGAUGUCGGACCAGGCUUCAUUCCCCUCAAC
rnacentral:pre_miRNA from 1 species